rnacentral:rRNA from 1 species
UGGCCCAGAUCGUUUACCGUGAAAAAAUUAGAGUGUUCAAAGCAGGCAGAUCCAAUUUUCUGCCACCGAAUACAUUAGCAUGGGAUAAUGGAAUAGGACCCUGUCCUCCUAUUUUCAGUUGGUUUUGGCAGCGCGAGGACUAGGGUAAUGAUUAAUAGGGAUAGUUGGGGGCAUUAAUAUUUAAUUGUCAGAGGUGAAAUUCUUGGAUUUAUGAAAGAUUAACUUCUGCGAAAGCAUCUGCCAAGGAUGUUUUCAUUAAUCAAGAACGAAAGUUAGGGGAUCGAAGACGAUCAGAUACCGUCGUAGUCUUAACCAUAAACGAUGCCGACCAGCGAUUAGGAGACGUUGAAUACAAAAAACCACCAUCGGCGCGGUCGUCCUUGGCGUCUCGGUUUCGGCCGGGGCGCGGGGAUGGCUA